ACUGGAAUCUGAGUGAGAAGGAGCCCAGCCACCAAAUAUCUGGCAGAGAGACUUCCAGGCAGAAGGUACAGCAAGUGCAAAGGCCCUGAGGCAGGAAUCAGGUGGGUGCACUGUGAAGAUCAGGAAGGCCAGUGUAACUAGGGGGAUGUGAGUGAGGAGGAGAGUGGGGGCAACGAAGUUGGAGAGGAAGGCAGAGAGGCAAGCUUCAGCAGUCUUACAGGGUGCUGAGAAGAGUUAGAUUUCAGAGUGAGUGAGCUGGGAAACCAGUGGAAGGUAUCAUACAGGAGUGACUUGGUGGGUAAAGCUCUUUGUUUUCCCAAUCUUUUUUUUUUUUUUUUUCUGCUUUAUCUCCCCAAAUUCCCCCCCGCCGCCGCCCCACAUAGUGUAUAUCUUAGUUGCAGGUCCUUCUAGUUGUGGCAUGUGGGACACGGCCUCAACGUGGCCUGACAAGCGGGGCCAUGUCGGCGCCCAGGAUCCGAACAGGUGAAACCCUGGGCCGCCAAAGCGGAGCGCGUGAACUUAACCACUCGGCCACGGCCUGCCUGGAAAAACUCUUGCUAAGAGCUUUGGGUGUCAGGCGAGAGGCGGAGCCCCGGGCCCGGCGGCAGGUGUGGCGGCAGGUGUGCGGCGCGCCAGGCGAGGCCUCCCCGGCUGGCCGCUGCUCUCCAUGGUGUGCGUUGCCUCUGGCGCGGUCCCCGCCCAUCCACCAACCCCUCCCCAGUCUUCUCCCUACGCCUCUACGUCCAGCCAUCGGGACUGGCUCCUCUUGUCGUUCAGGUCACUUCCUCAGAGAUGCCUUCUCGACUACCCAAGCUAACGUAACUGCCGACCCCCUUCUCAUGGACUGACCUUGUUUUUAUUUCCUUCACAGUAUCGCUCCCCUCUAAAAUUAUCUUAUCCCUGUUCCAUGAGGUUAGGGAUAAAUUCUGCCAUGAUCAUCAAUAUUCUUAGCACCCUGAACAGAACCUGGCUGAAGUAGGUGCUCAAUAAAUGUUAGCUGGAUGACUCAGUGAAUUCACUCAA